GACGAACGCUGGCGGCGUGCUUAACACAUGCAAGUCGAACGGGCUGCCUGGUUUUCGGAUCGGGUGGUGAGUGGCGAACGGGUGAGUAACACGUGAGUAACCUGCCCCUCUCUUUGGGAUAACGUCGGGAAAUCGGCGCUAAUACCGGGUAUUCUGGCUUCCUCGCAUGGGGUUGUUGGGAAAGGUUUUUUCUGGUGGGGGAUGGGCUCGCGGCCUAUCAGCUUGUUGGUGGGGUGAUGGCCUACCAAGGCGGUGACGGGUAGCCGGCCUGAGAGGGUGUCGGGCCACACGGGGAAUGAGACACGGCCCAGACUCCUACGGGAGGCAGCAGUGGGGAAUAUUGCACAAUGGGCGGAAGGCUGAUGCAGCGACGCCGCGUGGGGGAUGACGGCCUUCGGGUUGUAAACCUCUUUCAGUGCAGAACAAGGCUCUUUGUGGGUUGAGGGUAUGCGCAGAAGAAGCGCCGGCUAACUACGUG
rnacentral:rRNA from 1 species